GUAUUGUAUGAAAGAAGAGAAGGUUAACACUCCCCUUCACAAGGUAAGAAGAGGUCCUAGUGGCCUACAACACAUAUAUGGUUAAGGCACUGUCAUGUACUCCAUGGCAUUUCUGAGCAAUCUUUUGG
ensembl:snRNA